rnacentral:rRNA from 1 species
UAGUCCACGCCGUAAACGAUGUUCACUCGCUGUUGGCGAUACACUGUCAGCGGCCAAGCGAAAGCAUUAAGUGAACCACCUGGGGAGUACGAUCGCAAGGUUGAAACUCAAAGGAAUUGACGGGGGCCCGCACAAGCGGUGGAGCAUGUGGAUUAAUUCGAUGAUACGCGAGGAACCUUACCAGGGCUUAAAUGUAGUAUGACAGGUUUAGAGAUAGACUUUUCUUCGGACAUAUUACAAGGUGCUGCAUGGUUGUCGUCAGCUCGUGCCGUGAGGUGUCAGGUUAAGUCCUAUAACGAGCGCAACCCCUGUUGUUAGUUGCCAGCGAGUGAUGUCGGGAACUCUAGCAAGACUGCCGGUGCAAACCGCGAGGAAGGUGGGGAUGACGUCAAAUCAUCACGGCCCUUACGUCCUGGGCCACACACGUGCUACAAUGGUAGGUACAGAGAGCAGCCACUUGGUGACAAGGAGCGAAUCUAUAAAACCUAUCACAGUUCGGA